AACUUUUGGCAACGGAUCUCUUGGCUCUCGCAUCGAUGAAGAACGCAGCGAAAUGCGAUACGUAAUGUGCAUUGCAGAAUUCAGUGAAUCAUCGAAUCUUUGAACGCACCUUGCGCCUCUUGGUAUUCCGAGGGGCAUGCCUGUUUGAGUGUGAUUGAAUCCUCAAAAGAGAAUCUUCACAGAUUUUCUCUUUUGGAAUUGGGGUGUGCUGGCCUUUUGUUCAGAAAGCUCAGCUCCCCUGAAAUACAUUAGCGAUGUGACGUCCGCAUGGCACCACGCCUCUCUGGCAUUGAUAGUCCUUUCAUGCUUGAGCGUGCUGUGCAGCUGUGGAAAGUUUCGCUCGCUCAUAACUGAUGGGGGGUUGCUCCCCCCAUCCUUAUGACCAAUUUAACCUCAAAUCAGGUAGGAUUACCCGCUGAAUUUAAGCAUAUCAAUAAGCGGAGGCU
rnacentral:misc_RNA from 1 species